UUCGGUGGCUAUAGCGGAGAGGCUCCACCCGUUCCCAUUUCGAACACGGAAGUUAAGCUCUUCAGCGCCGAUGGUACUGCAUGGGAGACUGUGUGGGAGAGUAGGUGCCGCCGAAA
rnacentral:rRNA from 1 species